GCGAGUGUAGGUGGUGCUAUAAGUUUGGUGUGAAAUCUCCCGGCUCAACUGGGAGGGUGCGCCGAAGACUGUAGUGCUAGAGUGUGGGAGAGGUAGGCGGAAUUCCUGGUGUAGCGGUGAAAUGCGUAGAUAUCAGGAGGAACACCUGCGGUGUAGACGGCUUACUGGACCACGACUGACACUGAAACUCGAAAGUGUGGGGAGCAAACAGGAUUAGAUACCCUGGUAGUCCACACCCUAAACGAUGCAUACUUGGUGUGAGCGAUUCAUUUCGUUCGUGCCGGAGCUAACGCGUUAAGUAUGCCGCCUGGGGAGUACGGUCGCAAGGCUGAAACUCAAAGGAAUUGA
rnacentral:rRNA from 1 species